UGUGUGUGUGUGUGUGUGUGUGUGUGUGCAUAUAAAUAGAGUGGGAGUGUCGGAGNUGUGUGUGUGUGGGGAGUUGUAUGUAGUGGAAAUGUUAAAUACGUGUGUGUGUAGUGGAAAUGUUAUAUUUAUAUUUAGGCUAAAUUACAUAAAAGUUUUUUGUCAAAAUCUAAUUUUUUAUUUUUUUUCAUGUCAUUUAAAAACCUACACUUUACUCUCUUGUAAAAUAAAAAAUAUUCACUUUGCCUCUUGCCGUUAGUAAUUCGUUUAUAAAAUAUUAUUAUAUAUUUUUUUAAGCCGAAAUUGUCCUCAUCCUUCUCUCCUGUAAACAUGAUGAGGAGCAAAAUGGUGAGGGACAAAAUGAUCAUUUUGUCAUCACAGUUCACAUCGUACUCCCUGUGAACAUUUUUUUAUUUUACAAGGGGGUAAAAUGUAGGUUUUUAAAUUACAGAGAGAAAAAGUAAAAAAUCAAAUUUUGACUGAAAAAUUUUCUGUAAUUUAACCUUAUAUUUAUAUAUGCAUGUAGGAGUGGGGACUGAGACUGUGAGCAUUAAAUAAGGGGACUUCAUGUGCAUUUCUAAAAUCUUAUUCCUAACGCCUCAAAAUCAAAAUCUAAUUUAAUUAUUAAAUAUAAUCUGCAAAAAUAUCUAAAUAAUAUAUCUCUUAAA
rnacentral:lncRNA from 1 species